rnacentral:rRNA from 1 species
GCGUUGUCCGGAUUUAUUGGGCGUAAAGAGCGUGUAGGCGGCCAUGUAGGUCUGCUGUGAAAACUCGAGGCUUAACCUCGAGCUGUCGGCGGAAACCAUCUGGCUAGAGUCCGGAAGAGGAGAGUGGAAUUCCUGGUGUAGCGGUGAAAUGCGCAGAUAUCAGGAAGAACACCCGUGGCGAAGGCGGCUCUCUGGGACGGUACUGACGCUGAGACGCGAAAGCGUGGGGAGCGAACAGG